AAAAACUACAAGUAUUUCUAUUGCUAAAUACACAAUUGACAUCGAAUAAAUCCUAAUCUGACAUGUAUAUAUACGGAAUCAUGUCAUAACAAACAAGUACAAAAUACUGUUUGGUUUCGUGGAAAGUUCCCUAUCACAUUAAUCAUGGGUUUCUUUUGGUCUUCCCCUUUCAACCAUAUACACGUCUCUCAAUUCGUCUUUAUAUAUAAAGUUUCUAAUUAUGCUUGAUUUUAUGUUUC
rnacentral:lncRNA from 1 species